rnacentral:rRNA from 1 species
CCUACGUGCGGCAGCAGUAGGGAAUAUUGCUCAAUGGGGGAAACCCUGAAGCAGCAACGCCGCGUGGAGGAUGAAGGUUUUCGGAUUGUAAACUCCUUUUGUUAGAGAAGAUAAUGACGGUAUCUAACGAAUAAGCACCGGCUAACUCCGUGCCAGCAGCCGCGGUAAUACGGAGGGUGCAAGCGUUACUCGGAAUCACUGGGCGUAAAGAGCGCGUAGGCGGGAUAGCAAGUCAGAUGUGAAAUCCUAUGGCGUAACCAUAGAACUGCAUUUGAAACUGUUAUUCUAGAGUAGGGGAGAGGUAGGUGGAAUUCUUGGUGUAGGGGUAAAAUCCGUAGAGAUCAAGAGGAAUACUCAUUGCGAAGGCGACCUGCUAGAACAUAACUGACGCUGAUGCGCGAAAGCGUGGGGAGCAAACAGGAUUAGAUACCCCGGUAGUC